UUUGCUGAAAACUCCACCAAUCUCCCAUCUACCAAAAUCAUCCUCAGCGGUGCCAAGUGCUCAAGAUGGGAAAACUCCCCCCUUGCCCCCUUUGUCUGACUUUGAGAAUCACCAUCUAACUCAAAAGAAGGAGAAAAAGUAGAAGAAGUCCCACCCCCCACAGAGGCAACAUAAAGAAAUGACGAACCCAGGAAUCUUGCUGCUUCCGCCAAGUGACAAUGGAGGCGCCAACUAUGGGGAAGAACCAACCCUACCACCAUUCACGAAGACUCCAUCUGCAACUAAGGACUUCGAAGGAGCCCUCUCCCCAUUUUUAAAGCCCUCCCCAUGAGAGAACUUAAGGCCUAAAUGUGCCUGGGCCAUCCCACUCCGCCCACACUUAAAAGAACUAGACUUUGGGUCCCUACUAAACUAGGCCUCUUUCCCACUACUACCCGUUGGACCUCUAGUUGCCCACUUCACAUCCUGGCUCACCCCCACUCUUCCACUACCAGCCUCUAUUUAAGGAACCUUAAGACAUUCCACUUCUUGAAGCACUUCCCUUGUCACCAUUGCCCCUAACACCUCUGUAAACCCCUUUUUAGAGGUGUUGGCCACCUCCCACCCUACCAAACCACUCUUGCAAUCAACAAGUGACAUGCCCAUAACCUCCUUUUGCCUCGUCAAUAUUGGCUCCUCAGCACUUAGCAACA
rnacentral:lncRNA from 1 species